AGAUAUUUCUAUUGACGGGAGGGAAACAGUGCCACUAGAUUACUCCGGUAAGGUAGAUACGUCAAAUGCUUCCGAUCAUCCUUUGGAAUUUUCUUGACGGUAUUAUUGGGAUUCGGCGACGACGUAGAUUUAUUUCUGGUUAUGUAUACUCUUUUAUUUCUGUGACUACUUGUUUUCUUUCCAACUAGGAGUUCGAUUAGCCUUUUCCAUCGAGACACAGAUUUCACCGUUGCUGCCGCCGUCGAUGAAGACUUGAACUUGUCCAUCUUACUACGUCGUUUGGUACCCAU
rnacentral:lncRNA from 1 species